rnacentral:rRNA from 1 species
UUGGCUCAGGAUGAACGCUGGCGGCGUGCUUAACACAUGCAAGUCGAACGAGCCUUCGGGCUAGUGGCGGACGGGUGAGUAACGCGUGAGAAUCUGCCCUCAGGAGGGGGAUAACGGCUGGAAACGGCCGCUAAUACCCCAUAUGCCGCGAGGUGAAACGAGUUUUCGCCUGAGGAUGAGCUCGCGUCUGAUUAGCUAGUUGGUGGGGUAAGAGCCUACCAAGGCAUCGAUCAGUAGCUGGUCUGAGAGGAUGAUCAGCCACACUGGGACUGAGACACGGCCCAGACUCCUACGGGAGGCAGCAGUGGGGAAUUUUCCGCAAUGGGCGCAAGCCUGACGGAGCAACGCCGCGUGAGGGAUGAAGGCCUCUGGGCUGUAAACCUCUUUUCUCAAGGAAGAAGAACUGACGGUACUUGAGGAAUAAGCCACGGCUAAUUCCGUGCCAGCAGCCGCGGUAAUACGGGAGUGGCAAGCGUUAUCCGGAAUUAUUGGGCGUAAAGCGUCCGCAGGCGGUCUUGAAAGUCUGUUGUUAAAGCGUGGAGCUCAACUCCAUUUCAGCAAUGGAAACUAGAAGACUAGAGUGUGGUAGGGGCAGAGGGAAUUCCCGGUGUAGCGGUGAAAUGCGUAGAUAUCGGGAAGAACACCAGUGGCGAAGGCGCUCUGCUGGGCCAUAACUGACGCUCAUGGACGAAAGCCAGGGGAGCGAAAGGGAUUAGAUACCCCUGUAGUCCUGGCCGUAAACGAUGAACACUAGGUGUCGGGGGAAUCGACCCCCUCGGUGUCGUAGCUAACGCGUUAAGUGUUCCGCCUGGGGAGUACGCACGCAAGUGUGAAACUCAAAGGAAUUGACGGGGGCCCGCACAAGCGGUGGAGUAUGUGGUUUAAUUCGAUGCAACGCGAAGAACCUUACCAGGGUUUGACAUCCUGCGAAUCUUUUGGAAACAGAAGAGUGCCUUCGGGAGCGCAGAGACAGGUGGUGCAUGGCUGUCGUCAGCUCGUGUCGUGAGAUGUUGGGUUAAGUCCCGCAACGAGCGCAACCCACGUCUUUAGUUGCCAGCAUUAAGUUGGGCACUCUAGAGAGACCGCCGGUGAUAAACCGGAGGAAGGUGUGGAUGACGUCAAGUCAUCAUGCCCCUUACAUCCUGGGCUACACACGUACUACAAUGCUACGGACAAAGGGCAGCAAACUCGCGAGAGCUAGCAAAUCCCAUAAACCGUGGCUCAGUUCAGAUCGUAGGCUGCAACUCGCCUACGUGAAGGAGGAAUCGCUAGUAAUCGCAGGUCAGCAUACUGCGGUGAAUACGUUCCCGGGCCUUGUACACACCGCCCGUCACACCAUGGAAGUUGGCCAUGCCCGAAGUCGUUACUCCAACCCUUGUGGAGGAGGACGCCGAAGGUGGGGCUGAUGACUG